rnacentral:tRNA from 1 species
GCCGGGGUGGCAGAGCGGACUAAUGCGGCGGGCUCGAGACCCGUUGCUCUCUUCGAGAGCGCUUGGGUUCGAAUCCCAACCCCGGCG